rnacentral:rRNA from 1 species
UACGGAGGGUGCAAGCGUUGUUCGGAAUUAUUGGGCGUAAAGGGCGCGUAGGUGGUUGUGAUAGUCAGAUGUGAAAUCCUUUGGCUUAACUGAAGAACUGCAUCUGAAACUUCACAACUCGAGUACAGGAGAGGGAAACGGAAUUCCCGGUGUAGAGGUGAAAUUCGUAGAUAUCGGGAGGAACACCAGUGGCGAAGGCGGUUUCCUGGCCUGAUACUGACACUGAGGCGCGAAAGCGUGGGGAGCAAACAGGAUUAGAUACCCUGGUAGUCCCU